rfam:Felis catus isolate Cinnamon breed Abyssinian chromosome B4, whole genome shotgun sequence.
GCCUGGGUGGCUCAGUCGGUUAAGCAUCCGACUUCAGCUCAGGUCAUGACCUCACAGUCUGUGAGUUCGAGCCCCGCGCCCAGGCU